UCAGAUUCCACGAAGUCAAGUUUUGUUUGUUUAACUGGAAAAGUUUUGCGGAAUCUGUCUAUGGCACACAUACAAAUACAAAUGUGAUUGUGUAUCUGUGUAUGUGUGUGUGGGUGUGUUUGGAGAUGUACAUAAACAGACUUUUACUGUAUUUGGCUAACUCUUUCGCUCGGAGUUCUUUAGCUCAGCUAAGUAC